GUGGGUGUAGCUCAGCUGGAUAGAGCAUCGGUUUUCUAAACCGGCGGUCGGGGGUUCAAGUCCCUCCGCCCAUGCCA
rnacentral:tRNA from 1 species